rnacentral:rRNA from 1 species
UGAGGAAUAUUGGUCAAUGGACGCAAGUCUGAACCAGCCAAGUAGCGUGCAGGAUGACGGCCCUAUGGGUUGUAAACUGCUUUUGUUUGGGAAUAAUCGACAUUACGUGUAAUGUUUUGCAUGUACCAUUCGAAUAAGGACCGGCUAAUUCCGUGCCAGCAGCCGCGGUAAUACGGAAGGUCCAGGCGUUAUCCGGAUUUAUUGGGUUUAAAGGGAGUGUAGGCGGUUGGUUAAGCGUGUUGUGAAAUGUAGAUGCUCAACAUCUGACUUGCAGCGCGAACUGGCUGACUUGAGUACACACAACGUAGGCGGAAUUCAUGGUGUAGCGGUGAAAUGCUUAGAUAUCAUGACGAACUCCGAUUGCGAAGGCAGCUUACGGGAGCGCAACUGACGCUAAAGCUCGAAGGUGCGGGUAUCGAACAGG